AGCUUUGCACAGUGGCAAUAUCAUAGCCAAUGAGGUUUAUCCGAGGCGCAAUUAUUGCUAAUUGAAAACCUAAAAGUAAUGUCUCAAUAAUAUAUCUCUAUUUCUGGGUGCCUGGGUGGCUCAGUUGGUUGAACAACUGCCUUCGGCUCAGG
rnacentral:snRNA from 1 species